rnacentral:lncRNA from 1 species
UAUUUCUAGCUUCCAAGUGAUACUAUUGGGUGGCUCCAGGUGUCUUUUGAUAUGUGUUUUGGCUACUUAUUGCUGCAAUGGAAGGUGUCACAAAUGCAGACCUGUUGAGAUGCUAGCCCGUUAGAACAGCUGGAAACUCUUAUGUGACAUGAUCAUGAAAAAUUGAGUGAUUUUAUUCCUGAUGUUUAUGCUGGAAUGAAAAUAAAUAUGCAGAUUUGCCAACUUGUCCUGCGGCUAGACUAAGGUCUUAUGAUUCUUAUGGUCGCUUCCAGAUAUUGGAAUUACUAGCACUGGUUUGUGUGAAUAUUGGUUUAUCCUGUAAUACCGUACUUGUUUAUUUCGAUAUGUGCACAUAAAUUUCCGUAAACGUUUAUUAUGUUAAUGUAAGUCUUUUGUUUUGUUGAUAGAUGAUUUUAGUGCUAAAAUUUGUUUCCUUAUAUAGAGAACACAAUCGUCUCCUAUAGUCCUGACUUGAGCAUAUAACUGCAUAUAGAUAUUUGUCUUAUUUGAUCUACGUUAUCGUCUUGAAUGAGAAUGACUUCUAUUUAUUAUGGAUCUAUUAGCAUCAAAGGCUUGAUUUUAUUAUAUAACUGACCUUUGGUUCUAGAAGUAGGUGCAUCCCUGAAUUUGGAUAAGCUUUGUGAUGAGGACAUCCUUAUAGUUGGACUUUUAUUAUUGUUUCAGUAUUUUAGUUGGACUUUUAUUAUUGUUUCAGUUGGACUUUUAUUUAAGUUUACGUAUUUUAAUUAGGACUUAAAUAAUGGGCUUGGCCCUAUAUUUCUAGGUUUUCAUUAUUUAAACCUAUCAUUGGUUUGUAAUUCAGUAGUUGAUGAAUUUUGAUUAAAUAAAAAGUUGGUUUUGCAGCCGUCUCCCCUCUCUUCUUCCCUCUCUUCUUCGACCACGCUUACUCUUUCGUUCGGGAUUAUGAAUUAGUGACUAGGACACCGUAUAGAAAUCGUAGUGACUCCCGCACUACAACCUCGAAAAGAAAGUGUUUAGGCUCGAAGCGAGACAUUUUGCUUGAAAAUGCCUCGCUUUGAGUUUAGACGAUUGACGAGCUUUUUAGAAUAUUGAUUUAAAAUUAAUAAAAUCGAUCCAAAUUUUAUACUGAAAAAAGAAACUUAAACUUUAUUCCGUGUUUUCAAUCAGCUUCAUUGAAUUAUUUAAAACGUACAUAUGUAUGAUUUAUUAUAUUUUUAUAUAUUAUAGAAAUAUAUAUAUUUUUUUUUUGAUAAGGACACUUUGCUUUAUUUAAAAUAAUGUAAUGUAAAGAUUUAUUAUAAUGCAAUAAACGGUCCAAUCAUCAUUAAAAAUUUCUAAAUAAAUUUAGUGGAAAUUACACAUUCUAAUAGAUUAAAAAUCCCCAUUUCAUAAAUAAAAUACCAUGGUUAAUAUUUCACAAAUCAGAAAUUUUUUUAAUUAAUUAAUAUAUUUAAAAAUUAAUCUAAUAAAUAAUAAUUUCAAACCCAAAUUUAUUCAUUUUCUACCAAACUCUCUCUCUAAACCCUCUCCUCGCGGACUCUCUCUCUGUAAACCAUCAGACCCUCACCUCGUCGCCUCACCUAUCAAACCCUCACUUCACCGCCUCACCUAUCAACAAUUCUAUUCACCGUCUCAUCGAGAACCUCUCAACCUUAGAGCACCGGCGCCAGAAUGAAGCCACUAGUAGUCGUCGGAGUGAAGCGGUGUCAUGUCUACCUCACGUUCCUCCCUCUCCUUGAAGCCACUCGAAGUGAGUCAUGACUACUGUCGCACCGCCAUUGCGACGUGUAUCUACACAUGAGAGACGAUGUGACGUGGUGUUGUGUGUGCUGUGAUUGUGUAGUGUUGUGGGCUGUGUGGUGGUGGUAGUAUUGAACUGGUGUGGUGCCGUAGGGUGUGGGAGAGGUAGUGGUGCGCGUUGCGGUGUUGUGAGAGGGCGGUGGUUGGGUGUGCUAUUGUGCAGUGGUAUUGGCUGCUGACUGGUUGUGGUGAGAUGGUGGGUGACUUUGUGGUGGCAGAUCUGAUGCUUUGGUGGUGGUUGACGAAUAUGGUGAUUUGAUGGUACAAAUCGUGGUGUUGUUUUUUUCUUGGUUGUUGGAUGUGGUGCAGGCGGUGGAGUAUGGUGUUGGUGGCAACAAUGUUGGUGUUGGUCGAGUGGAUCAAUAGUGUCUGUGGCCAGCAAAUUGCUUGACUUGGUUGUGGUGACGAUGGUAGCUGUGGUGGAUUAUGGUGGUUGUGAUAGUCGUGGCGAUUUGGUUGAUUUUGUGACAAAUGAUUGGGCCAGUGACCUGAAAAUUGUGUUUGUGACUCCCAAUUGUCACUCACAAUUUGGGAGUCACAGUUGGUAAAGGGGGUGGUUGUGGUGGUUAUGGCGGUGGUCGUGGCGGUUUGGUUAAUUUGUGACUCACAAUUGGAUAAGUGACUUGAAAAUUGUGACUGUGACUCAUAAUUGGAUACGUGACCUAAAAAUUGUGACUGUGAAUAGUAAGUGUUGGUGGUGAUCACAAAUUAUUUGGUUAAUUGUGAUCAUUAAAAUGGUUAAUUUGUGACCAAUAAGUAAUAUGUGACCAAUGAAAAAAAUAAAUUUUGAUCGAAAAAUAAUGUGUGACCUAAAAAAUUGUUAAUCUGUGACCGAUAAUUUUAUAAUUUGUGAUUGUAUAAGAAGUUGUAACUUGUAAUAUUUGUGAUUUGUGACCAAUAAAUAAAUCGUGACUUUUAAUUUUUUUAUUUUUAACCAAUGAAUAAACUGUGACCUAUAAAUUUUUUGAAUUUUGAUCGUAAAUAAUUUGUGACAUAAAAUUUCGAAUUUGUAACAAAAAAAUAAUAAGUGACGAAUUAAAUCGUUAAUUUGUGACCAAAUUAUAUAAAUCCGUGACUUCAAUAUAUUUAAUUACUAAAUUAAUUAAUUAAUUAAUUAAUUAAUUAAAUGAUAAAUAAUUUUUAAUAAAAAUCUGAUUUUUGAAAUUUAAAAUUUGUUUUCUUAUUUUUGAAAUGUGCCAUAAUUAAUAUCUUACUUAUGAAAUUUUCCCAUAAAUUUAAGGUAGACAAAAGAUCCAUUAUAGACAAUAAAUAUAAGUAAGGACCGAGCUCGUGGUCCGAUCCCAUCAACAAGGCCUGGCCCGUAAUUGAGACUAGAAGUGAAGCUCGGUACCCGAGCCCAAAAACUUACCAGUCCUAUCCAAACUGAAUCUCAAGUGUUGAACUCCCACAUCGACAACAUCUAGAAUUCUUUACCAGUUUAUAUUGCAAACGCUGGGACGGGUGUUUCGUCCCUUCGGGGACAUCCGAUAAAAUUGGAACGAUACAGAGAAGAUUAGCAUGGCCCCUGCGCAAGGAUGACACGCACAAAUCGAGAAAUGGUCCAAAUUUUUUUGAGACUUCAAUCCUCGAGUGAGGUUUUGUCGAGAAAUUAUCCAUUUUUUUAUUUUUUUGGUUAAUUUGCAGUUUUAUCUAUAUAUUAUUGAGGAUUUCGAUGAGCAGCUCUGAUGGAAUAUCUGGAUGUCAAUUUGAUGAGGUUUUUGUCAAAAAAAAUCGUCUAUAUUGUAGGGUUUCAGUCAGAAAUAUUUGAAGCUAUGUUUAUUGUUAAGGUUUCUGCCGCGGAAAGAGGUUUUUUUUAUUUUUUUUUUGCAGUUUCAUCGAAAUUGUUGAGGAAUUUGUCAAAUGCUUUAGGUGAACGUUCUGGAUAUCGAAAUUCAGGUGCUAUUUCAUUCGUAUUUAAUUGUUAUUGGAUGGAAUUCAAGAAUCAUUAGCUUUUACAAUAUUUUGAAAUUUUCAUCUCAUAGGUAAUUUUAUGCACAUACACAUGCACUAAUUGUAUAUAUAAACAAGAGUUCACGUGUUAUGAUUGGAUAAUAAUGUACAAUGUUAGGGGUUUCUAAUUCUGGAGUUUUCAUGUCAGUCAAUUUUUGGUGCUGAAGAAGAUAGUGUUUUGAAUAAAUCGAAAAAGAAAUUUGUAAAAAUGCGAAAACCGAAUGUAGAAUGUAUCAAUCUCCUCUGCAGCCUACGGUUAAUUAUGUUUUAAACAAAAAUGAAAAUAAUUUACUAUUGGUAUUGCCCCCCACCCCCCCCACCCCCGGGUUUUUGGUUUAACUUUUCCUUUAAUUUCCUUGGAACAGGGGGUUGUUUUAGAUUCAUUUUGCAUAAUUUUAAACCAAAGCUUGAGUAAGAAUAUGCAAAAUGUAGUGCAUGUGGUGUUUGGCUUGAAUGUCAAGAAGAAAGAGUUUAGAGCUAUCCAACAUAACAUGGUUGGUUUAACUUCUAAAUUUUGGUUUGACUUGUAUUUGGUACUAAUGGGAAGCUCGAAACUAGAGCUAAUGAUUUGUGAUAGAAACUAUGCUAGAUUAUUUGGUUAUAAUGAUCAAUAUUCCAGCAUACUAAAUCAUAAUCCAGGAAGUUAACUUUUCAAUGGAACUAUCAUAGGAAUAACUCAUGUGGAGUACGAGAAAACUAAGUUGAAACAAAGAAAACACCACAAUUUAGAUAAGCUUGUUAUGAUUGGCUAAAACCAUUGGUGGGAGAGUACGAAGUGAACAUGGAUGGGUGUUGUAAAGGCAACCCUCAGAGUAGGGGAUGGUGAGGGGCUGGCGUGGCUCAGACAGGUUGUUUGGGCACACUGCUCCUAUACUCUCAUUGCGCUAAUGUUGAGGUGGAGCCAAGAGCACCCUUAAGUGGGGUUCAAAAAUUUUGGAUUGAACUUGACUCUCUUGUGGCUAUUCAAUUGGUGUCCACAGAGCCUAGUGAGGCUUGGAAUACUCAAUAUGUUAUUGGGGAAAUCAAAACUUCAUUGAAAUCCAUGCCAAUUUUGGUGUCCAGAAGAGUGCUCCACGGUUUUGCAGCCUUCCGAAAUUCAUGGGUAGUUGUUUGGGCUCAUAUUUUUAGACCGUCUCCAAGUUCCUUAUGUUAACUCAUAAAAUUUCUAUUAUCUACUUUAAAUGUUAUAGAAGUAAUACUUACUAGUUUGAAUCUUGCUUUAAAUGUUCGUUACAUCCUCUUGAUGUAUAUCCUGACGUAAGGCUUUAUGUCCCCUCCAUGCACUACUCCUUUCUAUUAUUCAUGGAGGGUUAGGGGAUAUCGUUUGGAAAGGAACCUAAAAGCUCCUGACCGAAUGCUGUGGAUUUUACAGAAAAUUAAAUAAAAUAAAGUUCAACUAGAUAUCUCUUUUCUUAAACAAUUCCUACAGGUAAAUUAGAUUACUAGCCAUGUGUGUUUACAUAGUUGCUUAUAUUUUUUACUUUACGUUACAUUCUUGUUCUGUGCAUUUUGAUAUAGGUGGCCAUCUUAAGAGAGAUGAAUUAAUUUGGGAUUUUGAAAGACAUAAUUGAGUUGGAUUAAGGAGGUGGCAAAGAUGUGUUGAUUGAAUCAUUGAAUGCAAUAGGGUGUUAAAAGGCAAGGGGUUAAAGCAGGAUGAUAAGCCAUUUGCCUUUGCAUUUCAAAUGGAGCUAAUAUUUUAGAUGGACAAUCCCAGUGAUAAAGACUGGCAUGUUUUUAUGAAAAUCGUUCAGAGAGAUCAAUUUGAUGAUGAAAAGACUAGUCAGCUGAUAUAUACGAUGCAGCACACUAUGUCAAACCGAGAAUAUAGAGAAGGACAAGAGGAGAGACGAAGAUGAAGAAACAAAGAGAAUUUGAGAGGAGAAUGGGGAAGAACUAGAGGAGAAAAUUUCAGGAUGUUGUAUUUAAUAUUCAAUCAUGCAUUUUACAAUGAACUCGAUUACUUAGCCAUAGUUUGAUGGCCAUUAUUUGGCAAAAACUCUGUUUUAAAUUGUAAGUUUUUGGAGAAUGCGUGUUUAAAAAGUAGGAAAAAUUUUUGGGUUUAUGUGCAAAAUAUUUUAUUGUGUGAAUAUAUUAUUAAAAACGAGUAUGUAAAAUAAAGAGUUUUGAAACAAUGGUUGUCAAACAAGAGCUCAAUGUUGAAAUCAAACAAGGAAAAUCACUAAACUAACAAAAAUGAAACUUCAGGAAAUGGAUUCAUCCUGAAAUGAGUCUUUAACUUUGGAAGUGUUUUUUUUUUUUUUUAAAUUUCCAUCAAUAUACCUUCUAUUAAAAUUGAAGAUUAAGACAUUCAUUCAUAAGUAUACCGUCAUAAUUUACUUUGCUUAUUUUGGUUAAAUAAAAAGGUUGAAGUUGGUCGAGGUAAUUUCUUCUUGUGCUCAAUAUUUCUCUGAUCAGUCUUUGUAAGGUUAAAUAAAAGUGUUACAGUAUGCAUGUGUUAUUUUAGGAGAAGUUUGAGGCUUACCUGGAUUUGAACCUUGGACUUAGUAGUCUUUAGGAAAAAAUGGAGAAGUUGGAAGCAUGUAAUGAAGGUUUGCUUCAAUCUAAGGUUUAAUUUGGAAACCACCUUAUUCACAGACAGAGUGUUUUUUGUAUUUAAUCGAUGAACCUUGUGAUCUUUUGGAGCACUAAGCUAGCAAAACUAAAAAUCAAUUAUUUUACUCUACAAUAACAACAUUUGAUAUGCCCACAAAUAUCUCUUAUAGGUUCAUGUUGUAACUCUUAUGUGCUCAAAGUAAAGAAACUAAUCAAAAGAGUAAACUCUGCACCACAUGGAAGAGAUGUUUUGAAGCAGAUAUUGAACAGGAGAAGGUGAUCUUUUUGUAUUUGGGACAAUGGUAAUAUAACUUCAUACAUAGCAUACUUAUAUAUCAAUUUUCGUAUGAUUAUUGUUAUCCUCAGAGUGAGAAUACCUCGAAUCCUAACUUGGCCGUUUGUUUGAGCCCCAUUUUGUGGAAAGAAUGAAUUUUGAAUAAUUUAUUGAUGGAAAAUGUGUGGAUAAAAAAUAAGGAAAAUUUUUGAAUUUGCGUAUAAUAUUAUUUUAUUGAAGAAUGUGUGGUUGAAAUGAUAUCAAAAUACUGUUGAAAAAUGCAUUUUUUCAAAAGAAUGGGGCUCAAACAAGGGCUUAAUUAUUUUUGUAAAAAACUUGGGUUUAAUAAUAUGAUUUCCACAGUUUCUUCUUAAGCACGCUUGUAUUUAAUUUGACUUAAGUUGCAAUGGGUAAAAAUGACGAGAAAACUUUCUUUGUUGGACUGAAAGUUGAUUCUUUUGUGGAUUGAAAUAUAUCUUGACUUCUAUAAUCUUCAUUCAGUUUUUGGAUGAACCAUGUUUCGUCAGAUCUCUAAAGCAUGCCAGAAGAUUGUUUUCGGAUGAAAAAAUUUGUUUUUGUUACCUUUGAACUUGUAUAUGUAGCGGGUGCUAUUAUCUUUGCUAUCAAUGUACUGGACAAUAGGGUUCAGAACUUCAAUGGAAUGCUUCUUGCUUGAAAGUUAGCUUCUCAGUCUUGAUUUUGAGUAAUUGGGUUAUUUUGAUCUAAUUUGAUGUGUAUUUCUAGCUUCCAAGUGAUACUAUUGGGUGGCUCCAGGUGUCUUUUGAUAUGUGUUUUGGCUACUUAUUGCUGCAAUGGAAGGUGUCACAAAUGCAGACCUGUUGAGAUGCUAGCCCGUUAGAACAGCUGGAAACUCUUAUGUGACAUGAUCAUGAAAAAUUGAGUGAUUUUAUUCCUGAUGUUUAUGCUGGAAUGAAAAUAAAUAUGCAGAUUUGCCAACUUGUCCUGCGGCUAGACUA